rnacentral:rRNA from 1 species
GAUGAACGCUGGCGGCGUGCCUAAUACAUGCAAGUAGAACGCUGAAGGAGGAGCUUGCUCUUCUGGAUGAGUUGCGAACGGGUGAGUAACGCGUAGGUAACCUGCCUGGUAGCGGGGGAUAACUAUUGGAAACGAUAGCUAAUACCGCAUGACAACAGUUAUUGCAUGAUAACUGUUUAAAAGGGGCAACUGCUCCACUACCAGAUGGACCUGCGUUGUAUUAGCUAGUUGGUGAGGUAACGGCUCACCAAGGCGACGAUACAUAGCCGACCUGAGAGGGUGAUCGGCAACACUGGGACGGGACAAGGGCCCAGACUCGUAGGGGAGGCCGCAGAAGGGAACCUUCGGCAAAGGCGGGAAGUCUGACCGAGCAACGCCGGGGGAGGGAAGAAGGUUUUGGGAUCGUAAAGCUCUGUUGUAAGAGAAGAAGGGUUGGGGGAGGGGAAAGUUCAAACUGUGACGGUAUUUUACCAGAAAGGGACGGCUAACUACGU